GGAGGAGGUACCAGAAGGAGUGGACUGAACAGAUUUCUAGUUGGAAGAUCUAUUUAGAUAUACCAAACUAUAAAGAAUCGCUUCGGAAGUUAUGAGAGAUAUAACUUUCGAAACUGUUACCCUUUUUGGCGGAGAUACUAGAAGAGGUGAACCGAUGUAUAUCAUCUUCACACUAGAUCUUGUCAGAUGAUCGUUUUAUUUGUGGGGGAGGUAACAGAAGUACUGAACUGCUGCAAUAUCGUGCGAACCAGCCAGACAGACAGACGAACGGACACCCCAAGAUCGACUACAAAUUUCCUAAAACGGACAUUUCGACGAGACACGUUUUGGUCAUAUGAAAUGAUAUAUACUCUCUGUAGUCGCAUGGUGGUCGAGGGUAUAAAAAUAAGGUUACAAAAUAUAUUCCUCGAAUCUCCACGCUUAAUAAGUUCUCUCAUAUCAAGUUCAAUUUCUCUGUUGUCAAGCCCUACGAAGAGCAUUAUGAGAACUUAAUUUAAUUUGCAUUUUUAUUUUGCAAAUUUUGCUUCCGAUUGACUCCGUUUGAAUGCAACCAAUUCUAUAUUCUGGCAUAAAUUACAUACCAAGCCUAAUGUAGGGCAUUCAAUCACAUAUUUACAUACAAAGUCCAUGUUUUGACGACGUCGACGGUGAUAGUUUUGCGUGUGCUUAUACGUGUUUGUGUGUGUUGGUGUGUCUGUGUACAUGUGCGUGUUUGCCUUUACCAGACAAUAACAAAACCCCCCUUACCCACCAGAACGGCAACCUUCUCCACAAGUCAAAACCCACAUAAAUAUAUAGAGUGCAUGCAGUUUUGUUGUGCACUCAUAAAAUUGAGGUUACAGACUACAACAACAACAACAAGAUAAAUACGAACAACAACAAAACAUUACAAAUGAAAACAAAAAUACAGCAGAAUAAAACAAUAACAACAUUACAAUGUAAUAUCAUGUUAUAAUGAUACACACAGAGAGGUGGCAAAGAGAGAGAGAGAGAGAGAGAGUGUAAAUAGGGACAGCAAUGGUGUAACUGAGCAUAACUCUGGUGAGACUCCUCUCGUUACCAAUGACGGUGAGAACAUUUAUUUUACAUUGGGGUUGUCUUGCUGCUGUUGUUGUAUGCGCAACCUCGCAUUGGAGCCACUUGUAUUUGGCCUGGUGUUGUUGUUAUUAUUAGUUGUCUCUCACAGAGGAAAUUGCGUGUGUGUAAUGUUGUUAUUGUUUGAUAAUGCUGCUGCCACCGCUGCUUUGUUGUGUAUAAUAUAAUGUUGUUAUUGAGGCUGAUUUUUUCAUCAUCAUUUUUGCGUGCGAGUUACGUAUAAUCAUACUACCCCUGAUAAAAUUGAUAAGUUCUUGGAAACAAUUAGCCAAUAAAACGUGUACAAUUAUUGCACUUUAAAACUGUCUGGAGCUGAGUAUACAAUUAUUUACAAAAGUGUGUUAAUCAAAUUUCAUUUAAAAUAAACUUAUGCUAACACUGCAAUAAUUAAUUAACAAAUAAUACCUGUAGAAUAAGUAAAUUAAAAAUGUAAAAGUUAGUCUUAGUUCCAUCCUCUUAGUCGCAAGUCGACGAAUAAAUAAAUAAAAGAAAGAAAAAAAAAA
rnacentral:sRNA from 1 species